CUUCUGCUUACUCCUCUUGGUAAACAGAAUCCUGCCGAGUCCAGUUGUUUGCUUGAAAUCUGCAUCCCGGGCAGCUGGAGGGUGGCUACUCACAGGUGCUCUGGUCUAACCUCGAAGAUGCUCCAACUGGGCUUGCACCUUCCUAAUCAACAGCUCCUGGGCAGCAUGAACAGCUGGCUCUCCCAGGUCUUGGCCAGCUUCCCAACUUUCUCAGGGUUCCCAUUGAUGACAUCACCACCACCCCCCCUGUCAGCAGGAAGUAAUCUGAAGAACACAGUGCUCGCACUCCUGCCCCACCAUCACAUCACCCCUCCCUAGCUCCUCACUUUUUCAUUGAAAGAGAAGGGAGAGCCGGGCGGUUGUGGUGGCGCAGGCCUUUAAUCCCAGCACUCGAGAGGCA
rnacentral:lncRNA from 1 species